UGGGAUGUGACUCAGAGAGUCAAUACUGUCCUCCCCUCCAUUACCCAUCUUGUCAACUCUGUCUUGAAUCACAGAGCCGCCUUGAGUUCCUUACUGAAGAGGCCUUUUGGAUCCAUGCUCCUGCCACGGUGGAUCAGCCAAGGGAGCUGAUUGGCCGAUCACUGGGCAGGAAGAGAUUGGGCGAAACAGCCUGACACAGAGAGAAGGCUGCGAAGAGGAAUGGCGGAGUCUGGAGUCGCGAGCAGAUGCAGCGAGAAGCAAGAUGGGCAUGCCAUACUGGGAAGAGGUACCAAGUCAGGUGGUAAAGUAUAGAUAAGAAAUAUGGGUUAACUUAAGUGUCAGAGUUAACUAAUAACAAGCUUGAGCUAUUGGUCGAGCAUUUAUAAUUAAUAUUAAGACUCUGAGUGGUUGUUUGGAAAGCAGCUGCAGAGAAAAAUCCACUUACAAUUUUUUCCGCUGACUCCUGCAUGUGUACUGUGACACACACACACACAAACACACAAAUCAAAUAAAUGGAAAAGGCACAUAAAAUAAUCAACUGACAUAUAUUUUUAAUUCUCUUAUUAUCCUGAAAUUUAGGAACCCUAUAAGAUGCGACAGAGGUACAAGGAAAGACGUACAUAGUCUUUCUUUUUUCACUUUUUUUUAUUCUCCUCCCUAAGCUAAUGGAGUUCCAUUAUUGGGUCUAAAAGGCAAAGUCCUUGGUGGGCUUAUUGUGCUCUUUACACAUUGGAUGCUGUAUGAAGAGCAUAGCAUGAGAGCUCAAGGACCUGGCUGCACGGAAUAACUUCUUCCUGCCGUCUGUGCCGACUAGGGAAGAGUAGCAGUAGCUCACAUCGGUUGACACUGUGAUGUUAAUUGUAAUCAUCAGCUUGACUGAAUUUGAAAUCAUCACGGAAAGACACUUCUGGGUGUGUCUAUAAAGGCGCUUUUAGAAAGCUUCACUGAGAAGGGUAGACCACCCUCAAUAUGAGUGGCACCAUCAUGGGCAAGGCUCCCUUCCUGAAUAACAGGAAGAAAAUGACCAGGGAAUCAGCAUUCAGUUCUCUGCUUCCAGACUCCAGACGCAAUGUGGCCAGCUGCCUCACAGUUCUGCUGCCUUUACUUCCCUGUCAUGACGGAUAGUAGCCUCAAACUCUGAGACCACACACUUCCCAAUUACUUUCUUUUAAAAAAUACUUUGAUGGCUUUUAAAUUUUGUUUAUAUAUGUGUAUGGGUAGGUAUAUGCAUGUAAGUGCAGUGCGUAUAUGUUUCCAGAAGAGGGCAUCAGAUCUCCUGGAGCUGGAGUUAAUGGUAGUUGUGGAUUGGCUGACAUAGGUUUUGAGAAUCAAACUCAAUCUUCUAGAAGCGCAUUUCACACUCUUCGCUGCAGAGCCAUCUCUCCAGUCCCAGUCCAUUCUUAAAUUGCUUCUGUCUGGUAUUUUGUCACAGCAAAGAGAAAACUAACCAAUCAUCUGCUGUUCUCCGUGAUUUGAAGACAGUCUCUUGUUUAAGCUGGGAACAGUCAGAUCUCUUAUUCAUUCCCCUUUGACAAGGAGGCAGAGUCUUUUGUUGGCUGAGGCAUUUGUCCACACUGCUGUAUCUAGUGGGUGUCAACCCUGAGUCUCAAAUCCAGGUCUGACAGCUCUGGCAGCCUGGCUUUUCACCAAGACUCUCUUCUGGACCUGGUUCGGGAUGAUAUGACCUCCCUCCCUCCAGGGUUUCUGAGUGACCAUUGGUGAGGGGCGGGGCUGGAGUGAG